AGCAGCCGCGGUAAUUCCAGCUCCAAUAGCGUAUAUUAAAGUUGUUGCAGUUAAAAAGCUCGUAGUUGAAUUUCGGGAUCAGUAGGUAGGUCAUGCCUCUGGUAUGUACUGGUCUCACUGAUUCCUCCCUCUUGAUGAGCCGUAAUGUCAUUAAUUUGGUGUUGCGGGGAAUCAGGGCUGUUACUUUGAAAAAUUAGAGUGUUUAAAGCAGGCAAGCGCUUGAAUACAUUAGCAUGGAAUAAUGAAAUAGGACGUUUGAUCCUAUUUUGUUGGUUUCUAGGAUUGACGUAAUGAUUAAUAGGGAUAGUUGGGGGCAUUAGUAUUCAAUUGUCAGAGGUGAAAUUCUUGGAUUUAUUGAAGACUAACUACUGCGAAAGCAUUUGCCAAGGAUGUUUUCAUUAAUCAAGAACGAAGUUAGGGGAUCGAAGACGACCAGAUACCGUCGUAGUC
rnacentral:rRNA from 1 species